GGAAGAGAUGCUGCGGAGCUGCGUGACUUGAAUUCCUUGGCUACGUUGACAUCUCCGUUUAUAAUCUACCUCUCAUCAGUGGAGCCCUUGAGAAGUCAGGAAUGGGGCUGAUAGUUUUCGGAACGUGCCAUUGAAAACAUUCACACGCAUGCAUUCUUGAACAGAGCUUUGCAGCCUGACUCAGAAAGAAGGGUUUGGGGUACCUGGGGCAGCCUGCCACCACUCGCUUCCCUGGCCUGCUUUCAGGACCCGGGGACCCAGUGGGCUUGUGAUCCAGAUGUCCUUCUCCAUAAAUCCACCCAGGUGUGUGCCACUGUCACGGACCUUUGCAGGGAGAUUCUCAGACUACUGGUGUCUGUUUCUCAGGGGCAGUGGUGCCAGGGCUGAAAUUCCUUAGGGGAGAGGGGAACACUUCCCAAAUCGUCCUUGAGUGCCCUGGGAGAGGAGCUUCGUCGCUUUCCCCGUCUCCUCUUCCAAGCUGACUCAUGACCACAAAGGCAGUGUUGAUUUCAAGGUGUAGCUAGAAAUUCCCCACUGCCCUGAAGUUCUCAUGGGCUCUUUGGGGCUUCUUAGGUUCACGUAAAGGUACAGAACUGUGUGUGGUUAUUACACAAUUGCGUUUGGUACUUGAAGGCCUGUCUCUUGCUCUUCUCAGUGUCCCAAACGUUUUCGACCGUGAUCCACAGUACCUCUCCCAUCAAGACCUAGCAUGGCCACACCCCACCCCCCUCCAGAACAGAACAAGUUGUAGGAACAGUUGUUAACUUUCUGUCUGAUGAACUCCACUCGAUAGUUUCUUGCUGUUCCACUAAACAGUGUGCUGUGUGUAAACUGCUACAUUGAUUUCACAACCAAUGCAAACCCCGGGCUCUCUGGACGUGAGUGCCUGGCACAGAGAGGACCGCGCACAUUCUGGAAUGAGCGGGUAGGUGGAAGGUGGCUUGAAGUUUUCUAGGUUUCAAUGAAAAGGCCUUAUUUUUCCUCCUGGGCCUUCACAGUCUGUCAACAACCAGGCUGCGGUGGGCAAGGCCAGGACUUCAGGAGCGGAAGGUGCGGGCGAGCCCUGCCUCCAUCUCGGGUGAGAUGAAGAUGCCUGGAACCACUGCGGGCGCAUGCCUGGACCCGUAUCCAAGGGCAGGAACAGUCUGUUCCCGGCGGCUCAGGGCCUCAACCUGAACCCAUGCACGACAGGAGCGCAGCAGAUGGACUCCCGCAGGGCUGCCUGGACCUGACAUCAGAGACAGAGCUGUGCAACGGAAGCCUGCUGACAUCCGCCCGCCAGGGUGGGCUGCCCUCGUCCACGCGCAGCGGGCUUCUCUCCAGCUGCGGGAGCCUCCUGAUGUCCCCGGGCACGGGUAACUGCCCAGGGUCUCACCACCCAGCGGUUGUCUACAUCCUUGCACAGGCUCACAGCCCAGCAGGCGGGGAAGACCUGUGAAGGCAGACAGCGUGGCAGGGGGUGGGUGGUUAUUCCAGGCCCUGUCCCAGGGCGCAGCGCUGGCCCCUUCUGAGGCUGGGGAGGACCAGGACCUGUGGCAUGUCUGCUGUCCCUCCAGCUGGCAUUCUCGGUGGGUGCCAGCAGUGAGGAUUUCCCUUCCUGGGCGAGACCCAGCAGGGUCCGGGGUCCACCCCACUGGAACCGUCUCCUCCAGAGGCCUCCUCUUGUUCAAGUUUACUUCAGCUGUAAAUUUUACACAUACUAUGGAACACUUCUGAUUUAUGUCUGCCCCUGGGAUGCCCUUGUGCCCACUUUUAAAAAGGCUGUCCCCUUACUAAUUUUUUUUUUUUUUUUUGCUGAGGAAUAUUCACCCUGAGCUAACAUCUGUUGCCAGUCUUCCUCUUUUUCGUAUGUGGGAUGCUGCCACAGCAUGGCUGAUGAGUGUUGUAGCUCCACGCCCAGGAUAUGAACCUGCAAACCUAGGCUGCUGAAGUGGAGCGUGUGAACUUGACCACUGUGCCGCAGGGCAGGCCCCUGUCCUGUUACUCUUUUCAUUCAUCUUCCGUGUCAUCUCAUCAGCCCCUCCCCUCCUGUGUUCUUCUCACUGCCCCUGUUUCUCAUGGUGUCUCUUGACUUUAUUUACUGGUUCACUUUUGUUUGGGGUCUGUGUGUCCUGGAGGCCAUGUGUGUGCACUCUUGGACCUGUCACUGAGAAGUCAUCCAGUGCGUUGCUGUUGAAGAAAAGAGGGGACCCCCAUUUUACAGAUGAGAAGACAGAGGCACUGAAAGGUCAAAGGGGCCAAACCAGGAUCUGAACCCAGAGCCGACUGGCCUCUGCCCUGUCCAGAAGGAGCUUGUGAGCAUCCCUUGUUGGGCUGGAGCUUGGGUUCGAAUUCAAGAGGACUGGGGGGCGGGGGUGGUAGGGCCUUGGGCCGGUUACCUUCGCUGGAGCCCGUUUGCUCGUCUGUAAAGUAGGGAUGAGAAAGAUGACCCCUCAGAGGGUUGUGAGCAUAUAACCAUUUAGCUGGCUGUAGUGUGUGUUGAACAUCCUCUUGUUUUGGGGGCCGGGCCAGUGACCAAGGAUGCCCGUGUGAGUUGCUUGGCCGUGAACUUGGUUUGAGUUUGAGACCUUCCUUCAGGGGCAUGCCUGUCACUGUUGCAAGUAGAUGCCAAAAUCUUGUUCCCCCUCCCAGAGCCACGCACCCCACGAAGGCCUCACUCCCACAGGGGGACCUGUGCUUGGCCUUGAGCAUCCCCCAAGCCUGGGAGCCCUGCAUUCUCCUGGGGUGACUCACUUCCUGUUUGGGCUUGGAAUUUGGAAGAGGAAACACUGCAGAGUCAGCUCCAUGGAAACGGCUGGGCCCGCCCACCAGAGCCUUAAAGGGACAGUCCUUCCAGGCAGGGCUUGUCCUGGGUGCGGGGUGGGGCGGGGGUGAGUGGGGUGGUGAUGAAGGGGCCCAGAGAGCCUGGAGUCAGGAUUUGAGCCCAGGGAGUCUGCUGCCCGGUCCUACAGUUCUCCUCUUUUCUCCUAAGGGACCCCUAUCCUCACCCCCCCUUUACCAAUGCUCAGUCCAGUUGCAAGGCCAUUUUAAAAGGACCUGUACUGCUGGGAUCUUACUCUGUAAUCUUGUUGAACUCGCUGCCUGGUCUUGGCCUUCGUUGCGUCUCCUCUCAAACUGGGUAACAAUGUCCCAGGCUGAUUGUGAAAAUUCCAUGAGAUCCUGUUUGUCAGGAGUGGCACUCACUCAGAUGCUGACAGGGACAGAUAAAUGAACGGAGCUGGCAGCCCUGAGACCGUGAAUUGCAGAGUGCACAUCCAUUUAAGGACACGCAAAUUCAGGUGUCUAAAGACAGCCCC
rnacentral:lncRNA from 1 species